rnacentral:lncRNA from 1 species
CCAAAACCCCCAAACUCUGACCUAAAUUUGUGCCCAAAAAGACCCAAAAAAACCCAAAUUUGCCCCAAAUUGGACCCCAAAAACCCCAAAUACACCCCAAAUUUUCCCCCAAAACCCCAAAUCUGCCCAAAUUUGACCCAAAAAUCCCAAAUCUAGACCCGAAAACCCCCAAAUCUGCCCCAUAUUGUCCCAAAACCCCAAAAUCUGACCCAAAAAACCCAAAAUAUACCCCAACUUUUCCCCAAAAAAACCCAUAUCUGCCCCAAAACUGGACCCAAAAAUCCCAAAUCUGACCCAAUUUGGACCCCAAAAGACCCCAAUAACCCCAAAUCUGUCCCUAAAACCCCCAAAUCUGCCCCAAAUUGGCCCCAAAACCCCUAAAUCUGCCCCAAAUCCGCCGUCAAAUACAUCAAUUUUCACGCCAAAAACCCCAAAUCUGACCCAAAAAGCCCCAAAAAAGCCCCAAAUCUGCCCCAAAUUUGCCCUAAAACGCCUCAAUCCGCCCCAAAUCCGCUGCCAAAAACAUCAAUUUUCACCCCAAAAACCCCAAAUCUGACCCAAAAAACCCCAUUUUGACCCCCCAAAACCCCCAAAUCUACCCCAAAUUGGAGCCAAAAACCCCCAAAUCUGACCCAAAAAGCCCCAAAAAAGCCCCAAAUUACCCCAAAAAAGCCCCAAAUCUGCCCCAAAUUGGACCCAAAAACCCCUAAAUCCGCUGCCAAAAACAUCAAUUUUCACCCUAAAAACCCCAAAUCUGCCCCAAAUUGGACCCAAAAAACCCCAUUUUGACCCCAAAAACCCCAAAUCUGCCCCAAUUUUGCCCUAAAACGCCUCAAUCCGCCCCAAACCCGCUGCCAAAAACAUCAAUUUUCACCCCAAAAACCCCAAAUCUGACCCAAAAAACCCCAUUUUGACCCCCAAAACCCCCAAAUCUACCNGGGAUUAAGGGGCUUUUUGGGUCCAAUUUGGGCAAAUUUGGGAUUUUUGGGUCAGAUUGGGGGUUUGGGGGCCAAAGAAUGGGGUUUUUUGGGAUCCAAUUGGGGCAGAUUUCGGGUUCUUGGGGUCAGAUUUGGG